rnacentral:rRNA from 1 species
GGGGCCAUUGACGUGCAUUGCGCUCUUGGGAUAUGCCUGAGAGCAUGUCUGCUUCAGUGCUUCUACUUUCAUUUGCUGCUGCUCUUGUUAUCGGGAGCAGUGUUGCUGCAUGCUUCUGCAAAAGGCACUGGCAUGCUAAGUAUCAAGUUUUGCUUGCUGUUCUGACUGAUCAACAUCUCAUGUCGUUUCAGUUGGCGAAACAAAAGCUGAAGUGUGUUCUUAACACUUCCUAGCAUGAAGUCAGACAAGUGAACCCGCUGAACUUAAGCAUAAUGGAUCCCAAUAAAAAUUCAAAUCUUGACCUCAGAUCAGGCAAGGCUACCCGCUGAACUUAAGCAAAUGGAUCCCAAACGU